CGUUCCUGUGGGUUGAGCUUCUAUAGAUCUACAUCAAAGCCCACCCCCAACGACUGCCCCUGCACUUAGGAUAAAAUCCACCCCACUUCCUGUGGCCCAUGAGACCCGCACAGACUGGUGCCUGCCUAUCUCUCUAACUCAGCAAUUUCCAUUCUUCUCCUUCCUCUUAGUCUCCAGCCUCUCUGGUCUUCCUUCUCCGGAGUGGCAGGCUCCUCCUCGUGCUGCCACCUUGUGGGCGGAAGAGAUCCUGCUCAGAGGUCUCUCCCUUCACCCGAUUAUUUGACAGUAUUUGUUGAGUUCCUACUACAUGCCAGGCACCUGUGCUUGGCGUUGCGGAUCCAACACGGGAAGACACAGG
rnacentral:lncRNA from 1 species